rnacentral:tRNA from 1 species
GGAAAGGCGGCUGUUGAAGUGUCAAGUUGUAACCUUGGUUAUGGUUUAAUUCCCCUUUUCA